AUCCUCUCGGGCCUAUUGGCCGAGAUCAAGUGUAGUAUCUGUUCUUUCUAGCGUGACAGCUAGAAGGCCUUCAAUCGGGGGCCCUGUCUGUCAUUGAAUAUUUGGACCAGGACGGAAUCGCUUGGGUGGGGCUCGCUCCAAGUUCUGUCGCGGACGUAUUUGCACUGUUGCGAGCUGACGUCCAUGGACC
rnacentral:snRNA from 1 species